AGGUGUCUUGGGAAGAAGGGUCCUUGGAGCCGAAGAUGAUUUUGGGGAGUGAAAGAGACCGCCUUUUCCUGGUAAUAGCAGAGCCAAAACUCCAGCCUUCAACCCACAGACCGGGGCCUGUCCCCAGGCAUCGCCACCCACCCCAUGGCCUCAUCGUCAUCUGUGACUUUUGCCUCCCUGCAUCUCAGUUUCCAUGCCUGUCAAGUGGAGAUAUAAUACCUCAUUCUGGGGAGAUACAAUGAAGCACUGCUGGUAAAAAGUACACGUGCUAUACAAAAUUAGGAAAUCCUUGUCACCAGACUUAGAGAAAAAUACAAAGUGGAGUUGACUCCCAGGUUGGAGACACAGCUUCCCAGGCUCCCGUUUCACCUGAGGCACAGAAGCUUUCCUUUGUUCACCGUUGCCAGCAGUUAUUGGACUGUGGCUGGGAUUACCUGUCAGAAUUCACAGGUGAGCUCCACUCUGCACAGGGCCAUGAGACCCUCCUGCCCAAUCCACCCCGGAUCCCCUCCAUCUGUUCACACUCAU
rnacentral:lncRNA from 10 species